GAAUUGAAAGGGCUUCAGAGUUGCAAGGAAGCUGAUGGCAAGGGAAGCUACUGGACACAGACUUCGUCCUGGGCAUGGUGCUGGCGGUGCUGGAUGCUGGGCCAUGGAGCAGACACUGCUGUUCCCAGGUUUACAGGGGAAGCAAGUGAGGAUUAAGCCAGGCGGCACUCCAGGGUCCGGCCCAAGGUGACUGUCCUGAACUAUGCCUCCCCGAUAACCGCAGUCAGCCGGCCACUGAAUGAGAUGGUCUUGACCCCACUGACAGAGCAGGAGGGGGAAGCCUACCUGGAGAAGUGUGGCAGCGUGCGGCGGCACACGGUGGCCAAUGCCCACUCGGACAUCCAGCUGCUGGCCAUGGCCACCAUGAUGCACUCAGGCCUGGGGGAGGAGGCCAGCAGUGAGAACAAGUGCCUGCUCCUGCCACCCAGCUUCCCCCCACCCCACCGGCAGUGCUCCAGUGAACCCAACAUCACCGACAGCCCUGACGGACUGGAGGAGGGGGCCAGGGGCAGCCAGGAGGGCUCGGAGCUGAACUGUGCUUCCCUCAGCUGAGUCGCCACCCCUGGGCCUUUCCAUCUCCUGUUUUGCAACCAGGAU
rnacentral:sRNA from 1 species